rnacentral:rRNA from 1 species
AUUGAACGCUGGCGGCAGGCCUAACACAUGCAAGUCGAACGAGUGGCGGACGGGUGAGUAAUGUCUGGGAAACUGCCUGAUGGAGGGGGAUAACUACUGGAAACGGUAGCUAAUACCGCAUACCAUCGGAUGUGCCCAGAUGGGAUUUGCUAGUAGGGGGGGUAAAGGCUCACCUAGGCGACGAUCCCUAGCUGGUCUGAGAGGAUGACCCGCCACACUGGAACUGGAACACGGUCCAAGCUCCUACGGGCGGCAGCAGUGGGGAAUAUUGCACAAUGGGCGCAAUCCUGAUGCAGCCAUGUCGCGUGGAUGAAGAAGGCCUUCGGGUUGUAAAGUACUUUCAGCGGGGAGGCGGUACCCGCAGAAGAAGCACCGGCUAACUCCGUGCCAGCAGCCGCGGUAAUUC